rnacentral:rRNA from 1 species
UACGGGGGGGGCAAGCGUUGUUCGGAAUUACUGGGCGUAAAGGGCUCGUAGGCGGCCAACUAAGUCAGACGUGAAAUCCCUCGGCUUAACCGGGGAACUGCGUCUGAUACUGGAUGGCUUGAGGUUGGGAGAGGGAUGGCGGAAUUCCAGGUGUAGCGGUGAAAUGCGUAGAUAUCUGGAGGAACACCGGUGGCGAAGGCGCAUCCUGGACCAAUUCUGACGCUGAGGAGCGAAAGCCAGGGGAGCAAACGGG